GAUGAAGAACGUAGUGAAAUGCGAUAAGUAAUGUGAAUUGCAGAAUUCAGUGAAUCAUCGAAUCUUUGAACGCACAUUGCGCCCGCCAGUAUUCUGGCGGGCAUGCCUGUCCGAGCGUCAUUUCAACCAUCAAGCCCCGGGCUUGUGUUGGGGACCUGCGUCCGACGCAGGCCCUGAAAACCAGUGGCGGGCUCGCUGUCCACACCGAGCGUAGUAACUAACCUCGCUAUGGAGUGGCGCGGGCGCCUGCCGUAAAACCCCCAAUUUUUACAAGGUUGACCUCGGAUCAGGUAGGAAUAUCCGCUGAACUUAAGCAUAUCAAUAAGCGGAGGA
rnacentral:misc_RNA from 1 species